GUUGUUGCAAUAGUAAUCCUGCACAGUACGAGAGAAACCACAUGUUUAGACAUCUGGUGUCUGUGCUUGCCUGAGGAGCCAAUGGAGUGAAGCUCCCAUCUGUGGGAUUAUGAUUAAAUGCCUCUAAGUCAGAAUUCCCCCUAUAGGGAAUAAC
rnacentral:ncRNA from 1 species